rnacentral:rRNA from 1 species
CGUCUAGUCGUACGUAGAUAUUUAACAUACAAAAAUAUUCGCCAGAGAACUACGAGCAACAACGCUUAAAACUCAAAGGACUUGGGGGUACCUCAAACCCACCUAGAGGAGCCUGUUCUAUAAUCGAUGAUCCACGAUACACCCUACCAUCUCUGGCCAAUACCGCCUAUAUACCGCCAUGUUCAGCAAA